UACGGGGUGCAGCAGGCGCGAAAACUUUACAAUGCCGGCAACGGCGAUAAGGGGACCUCGAGUGCCAGGUUACAAAUCUGGCUGUCGUGAUGCCUAAAAAGCAUUGCAUAGCAAGGGCCGUGCAAGACCGGUGCCAGCCGCCGCGGUAACACCGGCGGCUCGAGUGGUAACCGUUAUUAUUGGGUCUAAAGGGUCUGUAGCCGGCCGGAUAAGUCUCUUGAGAAAUCUGGCAGCUUAACUGUCAGGCUUUCAGGAGAUACUGUCUGGCUCGAGGCCGGGAGAGGUGAGAGGUACUUCAGGGGUAGGGGUGAAAUCUUGUAAUCCUUGAAGGACCACCAGUGGCGAAGGCGUCUCACCAGAACGGACCUGACGGCAAGGGACGAAAGCUAGGGGCACGAACCGGAUUAGAUACCCGGGUAGUCCUAGCCGUAAACGAUACUCGCUAGGUGUCGGCCACGGUGCGACCGUUGUCGGUGCCGUAGGGAAGCCGUGAAGCGAGC
rnacentral:rRNA from 1 species